GAGUUUGAUCGUGGCUCAGAUUGAACGCUGGCGGCAUGCCUUACACAUGCAAGUCGAACGACGCUAGGGGCAACUCUAGCGAGUGGCGGACGGGUGAGUAAUACAUCGGAACGUGUCCUGUCGUGGGGGAUAACCAGUCGAAAGACUGGCUAAUACCGCAUGACCUCGCAAGAGAAAAGCGGAGGACCGCAAGGCUUCGCGCGAUUGGAGCGGCCGAUGUCGGAUUAGCUAGUUGGCGGGGUAAUGGCCCACCAAGGCGACGAUCCGUAGCUGGUUUGAGAGAACGACCAGCCACACUGGGACUGAGACACGGCCCAGACUCCUACGGGAGGCAGCAGUGGGGAAUUUUGGACAAUGGGGGCAACCCUGAUCCAGCCAUGCCGCGUGUGUGAAGAAGGCCUUCGGUUGUAAG
rnacentral:rRNA from 1 species